UACGUAGGGGGCAAGCGUUGUCCGGAUUUAUUGGGCGUAAAGAGCGUGUAGGCGGCCAUACAGGUCAGCUGUGAAAACUCGAGGCUCAACCUCGAGACGUCGGUUGAAACCGUAUGGCUAGAGUCCGGAAGGAGGAGAGUGGAAUUCCCGGUGUAGCGGUGAAAUGCGCAGAUAGUCGGAAGAACGACCCGUGGCGAAGGCGGCUCUCUGGGACGGUACUGACGCUGAGACGGCGAAAGCGUGGGGAGCGAACAGG
rnacentral:rRNA from 1 species